rnacentral:rRNA from 1 species
UGAGGAAUAUUGGUCAAUGGGCGAGAGCCUGAACCAGCCAAGUAGCGUGCAGGAUGACGGCCCUUUGGGUUGUAAACUGCUUUUAUAUGGGAAUAAAGUGAGGGACGUGUCCCUUAUUGCAUGUACCAUACGAAUAAGGACCGGCUAAUUCCGUGCCAGCAGCCGCGGUAAUACGGAAGGUCCAGGCGUUAUCCGGAUUUAUUGGGUUUAAAGGGAGCGUAGGCUGUUUGUUAAGCGUGUUGUGAAAUGUAGGAGCUCAACUUUUAGAUUGCAGCGCGAACUGGCAGACUUGAGUGCGCACAACGUAGGCGGAAUUCAUGGUGUAGCGGUGAAAUGCUUAGAUAUCAUGAAGAACUCCGAUUGCGAAGGCAGCUUACGGGAGCGCAACUGACGCUGAAGCUCGAAGGUGCGGGUAUCGAACAGG